AGCUCAGUGGUAGAGCUUCUGCUUGGCAUGCAGAAGGGCCCUGGGUUUGAGGCCCUGGGUUCAAUCCCCAG
rnacentral:tRNA from 1 species